rnacentral:rRNA from 1 species
GCGUGGGGGAUGACGGCCUAUGGGUUGUAAACCUCUUUUUUCAGGGAGGAAUAAAAUGACGUGUACCUGAGGAAUAAGCAUCGGCUAACUCCGUGCCAGCAGCCGCGGUAAGACGGAGGAUGCAAGUGUUAUCCGGAAUCACUGGGCGUAAAGCGUCUGUAGGUGGUCAAAUAAGUCAACUGUUAAAUCUUGAGGCUCAACCUCAAAAUCGCAGUCGAAACUAUUAGACUAGAGUAUAGUAGGGGUAAAGGGAAUUUCCAGUGGAGCGGUGAAAUGCGUAGAGAUUGGAAAGAACACCGAUGGCGAAGGCACUUUACUGGGCUAUUACUAACACUGAGAGACGAAAGCUAGGGUAGCAAAUGGGAUUAGAUACCCCAGUA